rnacentral:rRNA from 1 species
GAUGAACGCUGGCGGCGUGCCUAAUACAUGCAAGUCGAGCGAACAGACGAGGAGCUUGCUCCUCUGACGUUAGCGGCGGACGGGUGAGUAACACGUGGAUAACCUACCUAUAAGACUGGGAUAACUUCGGGAAACCGGAGCUAAUACCGGAUAAUAUAUUGAACCGCAUGGUUCAAUAGUGAAAGACGGUUUUGCUGUCACUUAUAGCUGGAUCCGCGCCGCAUUAGCUAGUUGGUAAGGUAACGGCUUACCAAGGCGACGAUGCGUAGCCGACCUGAGAGGGUGAUCGGCCACACUGGAACUGAGACACGGUCCAGACUCCUACGGGAGGCAGCAGUAGGGAAUCGUCCGCAAUGGGCGAAAGCCUGACGGAGCAACGCCGCGUGAGUGAUGAAGGUCUUCGGAUCGUAAAACUCUGUUAUUAGUGAAGAACAAAUGUGUAAGUAACUAUGCACGUAUUGACGGUACCUAAUCAGAAAGCCACGGCUAACUACGUG